rnacentral:rRNA from 1 species
CGAAGGGGGCAAGCGUUGUUCGGAUUUACUGGGCGUAAAGGGCGCGCAGGCGGCGCGUCAAGUCGGGUGUGAAAGCCCCGGGCUCAACCUGGGAACUGCACUCGAGACUGACGCGCUAGAGUUCGGGAGAGGAUGGCGGAAUUCCCAGUGUAGAGGUGAAAUUCGUAGAUAUUGGGAAGAACACCGGUGGCGAAGGCGGCCAUCUGGACCGAGACUGACGCUGAGGCGCGAAAGCGUGGGGAGCAAACAGGAUUAGAUACCCUGGUAGUCCACGCCGUAAACGAUGUGUGCUAGACGUCGGGAAGCCUAGCUUUCCGGUGUCGCAGCCAACGCUUUAAGCACACCGCCUGGGGAGUACGGCCGCAAGGUUA